rnacentral:rRNA from 1 species
UAGGGUUUGAUUAUGGCUCAGAUUGAACGCUGGCGGUAGGCUUAACACAUGCAAGUCGUGCGAGAAAGUAUCUUCGGAUAUGAGUAGAGCGGCGGACGGGUGAGUAACGCGUAGGAAUCUACCUAGUAGAAGGGGAUAGCCCGGGGAAACCCGGAUUAAUACCGUAUACCUCCUUCGGGAGAAAGAAGGCCUCUCUUUGAAGCUUUCGCUACUAGAUGAGCCUGCGUAAGAUUAGCUUGUUGGUGAGGUAAAGGCUCACCAAGGCGACGAUCUUUAGCUGGUCUGAGAGGACGAUCAGCCACAUUGGGACUGAGACACGGCCCAGACUCCUACGGGAGGCAGCAGUGGGGAAUAUUGGACAAUGGGCGCAAGCCUGAUCCAGCCAUACCGCGUGUGUGAAGAAGGCCUUCGGGUUGUAAAGCACUUUAAGCAGGGAGAAAAAGUUAUAAGUUAAUACCUUAUAACCCUGAUGUUACCUGCAGAAUAAGCACCGGCUAAUUCCGUGCCAGCCGCCGCGGUAAUACA